rnacentral:rRNA from 1 species
CCUACGGGUGGCAGCAGUCAAGAAUCAUUCACAAUGGGGGAAGCCCUGAUCGUGCGACGCCGCGUGAGGGAAUGCAGCUCUUCGGGUUGUAAACCCCUGUCAUGUGGGAGCAAAUAUAACCACUAGUACCCCAAUAGGCAUAGACUGCUAACUCUGUGCCGCCAGCCGCGGUCCUGCAGAGGUCUCAAGCGUUGUUCGGAAUCAAUUGGCGUGAAGCGUGCGGAGGCUGUUGCGUGAGUCGGGUGUGAAAGGCGCGGGCUCAACCCGCGGACGGCAAAUGAUACUGCGGGACUAGAGUAAUGGCGGGGGAAGCGGAAUAAGUGGUGUAGCAGUGAAAUGCGUAGAUAU